CGUUCCCGGGCCUUGUACACACCGCCCGUCAAGUCACGAAAGUCGGUAACACCCGAAGCCGGUGGCCCAACUGUUUACAGAGGGAGCCGUCGAAGGUGGGACUGGCGAUUGGGACU
rnacentral:rRNA from 1 species